rnacentral:lncRNA from 1 species
AUGGGCCGACACCGUGGCAGCAUUCUCACAACACUGCUGCUCAGGAACCGAAAAAGCAGACGACGCGGCACUAUGAUGAAAUUAGCGUUCGCUUUCACCCUCGCGUUCUACCUUUGCUACAGUCCUCUGGCCUCCCCGGCCCACCACGACUCCAACCUGAACAUCCAGAUGAUAAAUAGAAUGAAAAAACUGGAUAGAAGUGUCAGUUUUCCCUCCGGAUUCACGCUGUCCUUCCCAGGAAGACAAAUGAUCAAAAACGCUAGCAACUGUGUGAUCCACUUCAUCAGAGAGCUGGAGAAUCUCCUUCAGAAUGUCACUGUACCUGAGCACUCCAAGCCUUGUGUUGAAGGACUCAUGGCCAACCUCAAGCAACUGAAUUCGACACAGGGAAACACUCCCAACACCAACGCUACGUGUGAUGUGAAAACGAAAGACAACCAUUCUUUGCCCUUUAACCAGUACAUUAAUUUCUUGAAGAAACUAAACGGCUCCAGUAGGAAAUGAAGCCUUUAGUGCGUCUGCUGUUUUGUGCCAGGCAGCUUCAACACUUAACACUUAGAGCUGUUAAAAUGACAGUUAAAGUAUUGAAUGUAUUUUUAGAAAGUUUCACAAUUGGGAUUUUAAAAUUUGUUUAUGUAUUUAACAUUAAUAUUUAUUCAUAUUUAUUAAUCCAUUUAUUUAUUUUUUGAUGUAAUUAUUUAUUUGAUUAAAGGCAACUACCUGUUACCUCAGACAUGUGAUAUAUUCAACUACUUGAAUGCUGUGAAAUAAAGUUUACAAUGUGAAAAGAGCA